CCACCAGGAAGCCAAGAGGCAGGUGUCCAGA
rnacentral:piRNA from 1 species